GAGUUUGAUCCUGCUCAGAACGAACGCUGCGGCGCGUUUUAAGCAUGCAAGUCGAGCGGUAAGCUAACUUCGGUUAGCCUAGAGGCGGCGGACGGGUGAGUAACACGUGGAUAAUCUACCUCCUUGUUUGGGAUAGCUUGUGGAAACAUAAGGUAAUACCGAAUGAGAUUCAUUAGUCAAAAGGCUUUUGAAGGAAAGGCGCUGAGGCGUCGCAAGGAGAUGAGUCCGCGGCCCAUUAGCUAGACGGCAGGGUAAAAGCCUACCGUGGCAAUGAUGGGUAGCCGGCCUGAGAGGGUGAUCGGCCACAUUGGAACUGAGAUACGGUCCAGACUCCUACGGGGGGCAGCAGCUAAGAAUCUUCCGCAAUGGACGAAAGUCUGACGGAGCGACGCCGCGUGAACGAUGAAGGCCGUGAGGUUGUAAAGUUCUUUUCGAGAGGAGGAAUAAGGUUUGCAGGGAAUGGCAGACUGAUGACGUUAAUCUCGGAAUAAGCCCCGGCUAACUCCGUGCCAGCAGCCGCGGUAACACGUAGGGGGCAAGCGUUGUUCGGAAUUAUUGGGCGUAAAGGGCGUGCAGGCGGCCUUGCAAGUCUGACGUGAAAGAUCUCGGCUUAACCGAGGGAACGCGUUGGAAACUGUAAGGCUUGAGUACAGAAGGGGAUAUUGGAAUUCCAGGUGUAGGGGUGAAAUCUGUAGAUAUCUGGAAGAACACCGGUGGCGAAGGCGAAUAUCUGGUCAUGUACUGACGCUGAGACGCGAAGGUGCGGGGAGCAAACAGGUUUAGAUACCCUGGUAGUCCGCACAGUAAACGAUGUACACUAGGUGUCAGGUCUUAAGACUUGGUACCGAAGCUAACGCAUUAAGUGUACCGCCUGGGGAGUAUGCUCGCAAGAGUGAAACUC
rnacentral:rRNA from 1 species